rnacentral:rRNA from 1 species
AGAGGGGUGCGAGCGUUAAUCGGAAUUACUGGGCGUAAAGGGCGCGUAGGUGGAUUAGUAAGUUGGGAUGUGAAAUCCCCGGGCUUAACCUGGGAGGGUCAUCCAAAACUGUGAGUCUAGAGUAUAGUAGAGGGAAGUGGAAUUUCCGGUGUAGCGGUGAAAUGCGUAGAUAUCGGAAGGAACAUCAGUGGCGAAGGCGGCUUCCUGGACUAAUACUGACACUGAGGCGCGAAAGCGUGGGGAGCAAACAGGAUUAGAUACCCUGGUAGUCCACGCCGUAAACGAUGAAAACUAGCUGUUGGGAGAUUAACUUCUCUUAGUGGCGCAGCUAACGCGAUAAGUUUUCCGCCUGGGGAGUACGACCGCAAGGUUA